GUCCGAGUCAUAGCUGUUUCACUCAUUUGUAUAGACCUAACAAGAUCACAACUAUCCUUAACAGGAAAGCGCACACUGGCUAGCCUUCAAUCUUAGGCGAAACAAUCGUGCAGACAUAUGACGGCCUGAGUCGAGCAGUAAACACAUUGAUAUCUAGGUAAAGCGGAACGAAACGCUUCCAUUGAGGGAGCUGCCAGUUGCCAACGGUCGUGGACAUGUACCUUGUGAGCAGAUCGUAGUUGCUUUCCUGAAGCUUCACCUGCAAAUAUUGUAUACCAACAACAGUGGGAACCUCACCUGCCAUGCCAUUCACAUACAGUGUCGACCAGAUAGUCUCAGUACCACGAUAUGGAAAGAAAAGGACUAGAGCAGCAUGACACAUCCCGCAUCAGUCAAGACUUCAGGGUUGUACGAUGUUCAAAUGCCAAUGCUUCGAGAACAACUCGAAGAAGAAAGAUGUAGAUGAGAGAUUUUGUCACGAUCCGUUCGUUACCCAGUUGUAAGAAUGAGAUACUUCGAAG